CAGCAGCCGCGGUAAAACAGAGGGUGCGAGCGUUAAUCGGAUUUACUGGGCGUAAAGCGUGCGUAGGCGGCUUUUUAAGUCGGAUGUGAAAUCCCUGAGCUUAACUUAGGAAUUGCAUUCGAUACUGGGAAGCUAGAGUAUGGGAGAGGAUGGUAGAAUUCCAGGUGUAGCGGUGAAAUGCGUAGAGAUCUGGAGGAAUACCGAUGGCGAAGGCAGCCAUCUGGCCUAAUACUGACGCUGAGGUACGAAAGCAUGGGGAGCAAACAGGAUUAGAUACCCGCGUAGUCCCUGUCUCUUAUAA
rnacentral:rRNA from 1 species